AGACUCCUGAAAUAGGGAGAAAAAUAAUUUUUCAGAAAACAUUCAAGCAAUAUCUAAUCACGUUUCUCAGUGAAAAGUCUUUCACUAUCUACACACACAGAUUUGGAGGAUGAGACAUGCAUAUGUAUUAUGUAGACAUGUUUAUUAUAUUUGCACUGUCUUUCUUUGCUUUGAUGCUUAGAAAGUCCUUGCCCAUGUUUAAGAGUGAGUUGUUAUGCUUAAUCAUGCAGAUGACAAAGAAAAAGAACUGGAAGCUAUUAUAAACUAUUAUCUAAAAUAUUUUUAAUCGAUAAAAUUUGUUAAAAAUCUGUUGAGAAUGUAUAAUGGAAUAGAAUUUUGAGCUGCAUGAGUCUAUGCUUUUAGAAAAUAAAAGAAUAAAAGAAGAAUUUUCCAAUCUAUAUUUUCAUUCUUUCCAAUUUCCACUAUGUUUUUCUUCAUAUAAUUUCUCCCUAUAAAUUUCCAUUUUUAACAGGAACAGCAAAGGAAAGAGUGGACCCAAAGUGAUGUCUCUGAAUUUUGGAGGAAAAAAAACCAAACCUAAAGAGAUGGUUUUAUUUGUCCUAAAUAUCCAGAAUGAAAAUCUAUACUGAACGCCAAAACUGGAUGACUCUUUACCAUACUUCCAAAUAUGAAACACUUUAUUCAUUCUGCCUCCAAAUUCUACACUCCAGUAUCCAACCAAUUCAGAGUGAGCUGUCCGAAGAUGAGCAUUUUUCUUAAAAUUUUCCAGGAACUCAUUCAUCUUUGAGGGUUUAAGGUAAUAAGUACGAAAUUCAUAGAAUGUUCCAUCGUAUUGUCUGGGUCCUGUAGCAAAAGAUGAGCACACCUGAAGAAGAUAAGACAAAUGUAAAUACCUUGAGAAGAAAGGAUUCAUUAUACUGUGUUAAAACCAAAUCUGAAUCUGAUAUAAGGGACAUUCAUAGACUCAUUACUCAUGUUUGUACUUCUGUUGUCAAUUCUCAGUAUGUUACUGAUGGAGGGUGUCCAGGUUCUUGGUGUUUGAACAAAGGACUGGACAAAACGCACAAACAAAGCAAGGAAAGAAUUCAGUAACAAAAGCAGAGAUUUACUGAAAAUGAAAGCACACUCCACAGGGUAGGAGUGGGCCUGAGCAAGUGGCUUAGGAGGCCUGGUUACAGAAUUUUCUGGGAUUUCAGUACCCUCUAGAGGUGUCCCAUUGGUUACUUGGUGUAAGCCAUAUAUAAAUGAAGAGGAUGACAUAAAGUUACAAAGUCAUUUACUCUGUGUACACCCUAUGUAAAUGAAGAUGAUAUUUCUUGUCAUAGCUGAAGUGUUUUAGUUCUAGGAAGUCCUUAGGUUCCCUGCCUUGAGGCCCUAUUCUCCUGCCUCCCAUAUACCUUUGUUUACAUAGAGGCGUCAAUAAAGACAACUACUCUUUAA